CCCUUAGAUGUUCUGGGCCGCACGCGCGCUACACUGAUGCAUUCAACGAGUCUAAAACCUGCUCCGAUAGGGGUGGGUAAUCUUUUGAAUGUGCAUCGUGAUUGGGAUAGAUGAUUGCAAUUUUUCAUCUUCAACGAGGAAUGCCUAGUAAACGCAAGUCAUCAGCUUGCAUUGAUUACGUCCCUGCCCUUUGUACACACCGCCCGUCGCUCCUACCGAUUGAAUGAUCCGAUGAAUAUCAUGGAUUGAGGAUUAUAGCAGGUUCGCCUGUCUUGAUCUUCGAGAAGUGAAGUAAAUCUUAUCAUUUAGAGGAAGGAGAAGUCGUAACA
rnacentral:rRNA from 1 species